GUACGUUAUAGGUAGGUGGAAUUAUUUUGUCAACAAUGAAUCAGGCUUUGCUGCAAGCAAAGGAAUGAUAGUGUUGUCUUGAAAAGCUACUACAGCUUGAGAAGGAAAAGGGUAUAUUCGUCCGUUUCAUGAUUGGUGACAUCACAUGCCUCUCUUUUAUUUUGUUUUUUUUUUAAUAAUUUAUUGCCAAGAACACAUGAGAGAACCUUGUCUUCAUAAAGAAAUCAGACAUGAAACGGACAAAAUACCCUUUUCAAGGAAACCAUUCAUGAACCUUACGAAAAUACUUGAGUUUCUUUUAGUAUUUAUUGCCAAUAACACAGGAGAGAACAUUGCUGCUGAACUGGGCACCGUUUGAAGUUACUUGCGCAAAUUGAAAAGACGAAUUUUGUACCGCUUCAAACCCAAGAUCCAUGGCUGAACAAUUUACAACAAUGUCAUGCAAAUGGUUUGCCAUCCUCAUGGGUCAAUAAAAGAUUCUUUUUGUUCCACCACCAGCAAGAGAUCCAAGAUUGUUUUUUUGACUUUUGUUUCGUUUACGUAUGGAUUGACUUAGAAAUUGUUGUUUGCUUUACUUAUGAAUUGAUUUUGAAAUGGUUGUUUGAUAUUGUGUUGGCUGCUUCA